UCAGAUUGAAGAUGAAGGUUUGUAUUUAUUUAGAUGUGUAUUAUGUUACAGAUGUAUAAUGUUAUGUUGUUAGUUCUUAAAUAUAUGUUUAUUUUUAGUUGCUGAAUUACUAAGAAAUGAUGACAAUAUUGAAGCAAACGUUGGUGAUAAUAUUGGAACAAUGUCAGGUGGAAGUAUAGCUGCAUCUUCUGUUUCGAAUGAAAAUGAUUCCUUAUCAUUUGAACAAUAUCAAAAUUAUCGUUCCCAACACCUGGGACCUCUCUCAGAGAGGUCCUUCAAAAUGGAAACGUAAUGGCGGUAUGGAUGAGCCCUCCUUUAAAUGGAGGGCUCAUCCAUACCGGGGUGUUGGGAGACACCGAAGAAAAAACAGC